UCUCCCCCAGGGGCCAGCUCUGGGAUCUGGUGUAGGUUCUCGAUGACCCAAAGGACACCAGUUAGAGUUCUUCCUCGAGAGUCUUCAAGCUGGAUCCGAGAGAAAGGAGACCUAUGCUCUUCAUGUUCCCAGAGUCAUCAGGUGUAUUUCUUCGGGCCCGCCCACACUCUAACUCUUCUUGCUAGUUUGAGUUCAUUUUCAAUGGAAAGAGACUUAAAAAUACAAGGCAGACACCAUCAGGAAGGCAAAAGUGAAUUCUCCACUAUCUGAAAAAUCAGAGCUUUCAUGUUCGUAAGAAGCUAUUUGAGAUUUGAAAGUGCAGUCUUUGCUGGGCGUGCAGAUCUGUUCAUUUUAGUUUCAGUCUGUUUUACGUAAACACAUUCUUUCUCAAACAGAAAAUUCUCAAAAACGCCAGAGCAAUACAAUAAGGAUGAGUAUCAGCAUUUCUUGGGUGUUUGCUACGUGCUGGUUACUACCUAACAUGUACUUACGUUUUUCAUCCUCACAAAACCGGAUGAAACUCUUCUACUCAUUCCUCCUUCCCCGUUUUAUAGAUGUGGAAACGGAGGCACAGGGAAGUUAAGUGAUUUCUCCCGGGUUGCACAACCAGGAAGUGAGAGAGACAGGAUCUGGACCCCAACCUUCCAAGCUCAGAGACUGAGAUUUGAAUCUAGAAAUAGAUCAAAGUAUUGAAAACCACAGGUUUCUAGUUAUGACAAUCUCGUUUGAGACAGAAGUAUGAAUUUUUAAUUUUUUUGAAAUAACUUUCGCUGUCUUUCAAGGCAAUGAAAGAGUUGUGCGUGCCCUCAAAGGUAUUCUGCAGUAUGGCUUGAACCUGCAUGCGAGCAAUGGUCAGCCCAGAGAUGUUUCGCUCUGCCUUUCAGGGGCGGAGCCGGUGCCAACAUCUCCAUCUCCGAUGCCCAUUCUGGCUGGACCAUUGUGGAAAUGCAUCUUGAAGGAAACACUGACGCUCCCAGAAGCCACGCGAGGAGGCAGCCUGGCCUGGAAGGCGGUAGAGGGCUGAGCGCUGUGAAACCCUCAGAGCACGAGCUCUGCCCAACCUUUGAUCUUAACCAUGGAUGGCGUCCAAUAGACCAAACAGAAAGAUGGUUAAAAUGCUCAGUCCCACCCUCUCAAGGUCCCUGAGGCACAUGCAAAGUAGGAGAACAUGGACCAAGGCUCGUUUAGAUGUCAUUCCUGGGAAGCGUUUCAUGCAAUAGCGGGAGAAUCGGGUUGAAACCCAAAGUCAUGACCUAGAGUCUUCGGCCAAGUGCUAACUUCCUACCUGUUAACGUUUCCUUUUGGAGCAACCAGAGAAACAACCCGCCUCCUUUGUUCUGGACCAGAGGGGACUAGGAGAAUCAGAAUGACUGGGCCCCUCACUUCCUGUGAGGUUGUGAAACAAAAGGUUUCCCCACGGUGAGCCCUCCAGAGAGCAAGGUCACAUUGAUCUACGGCAGUGACACACACCAGGCUUUGCCCAGUCUCCUCUGCAAAGACUCAAGAGCCGAGAGUAAAAUCUUAUAAUGGUUCCGCGAUGGAAGGCAAAGGGCCCCUCGGCGCUGAGGAACGUGCUUAUCAUUCAGCUGGAUCCCUUGGUCUUUGCCUUUUAAUUCUCAAAUGAAAAAUAUUCUAAAACGACAGGAAAGACUUCUUGGGGGUCCGUGGGGACUCUUCUUCCCUUCGUUCAGCAAGGAAAAAAUACCUGUGGGACGUACUAAGAAACAGACUUGUGUAUCUCUGCCCUGUGUUCUAAUAUUUGGUCUUUGACCCUAGUUCCUGACACAGAGUUCCUAAAACCCAUGUAAUUUCCUGGGUGAUUGGAGUGUCUUCUGUUCUGAUGAGGACACUCCUGGAUGGCUCCUGGAUGGCGGCUGGUCACCAAAAAGGCCGAGCCAUGUUUAGAAGCUGGGAACUUUCAGCAUUGCCCCCUGCCCUGCCCUGUUCUUGAGAGUAGGGGCUAGAAAUGGAGUUAAAUGGAUGAUCAUGCCAAUGGGAUGAAGCCUCCCUAAAAUUCCUGAAAGUACAGGGUUUGGAGAGUGUCUAGAUUGGUGAACACAUCUAUAGGCCCCUGGGACACAAGCCGCAGCACUGGAGACCCUUCCCACACUCUGCUCUAUACAUCUCCUCAUUUGGCUUUUCAUCUGUUUCCUUUAUUAGAUAAUAUUAUUAUUAGAUAAUAUUAGAUGAUAAACUUCCAACUGAGUGUUGUCCUGAGUUCUGUGGGCUGUCUAGGGUGGGAUGGAACCUGAGGAGGCUUUACGGCCUGUCUCUCAGAAGUACAGGGGAGAAACUGGAUAGGCAGUUGGCCUGUGACGUGGGCUCAGUCUUGUGGGACUGAACUCUUCCCCUAUGAUAUCUGACGCUCCCUCCGGGUUGAUAGGGUCAGAAAUGGUAGGAGGCUCAGUUAGUGUCUGCAGGAGGGUUGAAGAAUUAUCUGGUGUGGGAAGCCCCUUCCCCACAUCUGGGGUGAGAAGUGACGUAUUGAGAAGAGAAAGAAUGUUGUUUUCCUAGACAACCUACAAAUUGUGCUGAUCUUAAGGAAUACAGUGGUGAGCAAGUCAAUGUCUCUAAUCUCGUGGAAUUUAUAGGCAAACGGGCAGUUACAAUUACAGUAUGAUAAAUACUGUGAUGGGCAAAGUCGAGGGUCAGGCAAAAACUGCUGAGGGUUUCUGCCUGGACUUUGAGUCAGGAAAGGGGAAAUGGAGGGAAUGAUUCAUCCAGACCCGGGGAGGUCUCCCUCUGACUGUCUGGCUCCUUCAAGGCUGACUUCUGUGAGGUUGUGAAUGAUUCUCUUCAAGACAUGCGUCUAAAAAACAAAACAAAACAAAACAUGAUGACUUGUUUAUUUAAUUUUUUGUUAUAUUUUUACUAACCCCCCCAACCUACAGAAAAGGUGCAAUUACACUACAAAAAACUUUUUUUCUCCUCCAGAACCAAGGUGAUGGCCCAUCAGAUCAAGACUUCAGUGUGCAUUCUCUGCAAACAAGAACAUUCUCCUGCGUAACCGACACAUGACUAUCAGCUUCGGGAGACUGGCUGGACCCACUCAUACCCCUGAAUCCUUGGAUCCCACUCAAGUUUUGCCAGUCGUCCCAAGAAUGGCCUUCAUGGAGAAAAGAUCCAGCUCAUGGUCAACAUGGCCUUUUCCUUGACCCUGGUGAACACGCAAUUUUUGGAGCUAAUUGGACAGUUGCUUUGUAGAGCGUCCCUCCGUUGUCAUUUGUCGGAGGCUCCCUCGCGGUCGGAUUUCAGUGCACACUUGUAGCAGGAGCAGCUCGGAGGUGGUGGGGCGUUCUCCCUGCCUCCUCACAUGGGGGCAGGAUUUCAACCUCUCUCAUGACCAAUCAUCUCACGAGGUUGCAUCCGCUAGUCUUCCUCACCGUGAAGUUACUCUUUUGUCCUCUGUAAUUAACGUGUAUUUUGAGGGAGGUGCUGGGAAACAUCCCACUUCUCUUUGGACUCUUGAUUCGGUAUGAUCUCAUGAUUUCCUACUUUAUCCACUGGGUUGUAAUCUGUCACCCUCUUUUCUUUGAUACCCAAAACAUCCUCUGUGUGGUAGCCCUGAUAGGUGGCCAACCCCCACAGGCUGACUUCUGUGUCCUUUUUGCAUGUUCCAGUCACCCUCCCGGCAUUCACAUUUUAUUUCUCCCACAGAUGGGUGUUCCAGACUCGUCAUCUACAUUCUCCGUACUGGCCCUGGCGUCAGCGACUUCUCCAAGGAGCUUCUCGUGGCAAGUGGUAUUUGGGAACCAAGAUCUGGGCAUCAUGAUGUGCUCACUGCUAUUGAGCUCUUGUUGUUCCAAGGGCCCCCUCACAGAGUGAGCUAGAAAUAUAACGACACACACACAUCUGUUUCCAUAUUUUUACUGAAAUCCUUGACCUUAUACCAAUAUCUUAAGCUCUGACCCCAAACCACAGGGUUCGUUCUGGUUUUCUCGCUUUCCACACUUGUAACUUCUUUCUCCAACAGUGAGAGGCCCAGCUCCUGUUCUUCUAAGCAUACACACUUCUUUGAUCAAGCCCCUGCGUGGAACCAGUCUCUGCCCGCCCCCCACCCCCCCGCGGACCCCUCCUCAUACCUUCCCUGCUCUGCCGGCCCAGC